GAGCAUUUAGAGAUUUCAUUUUUCAUUUUCUUAUUCUUUUCCCCCACCUUGUUUUGUUCCAGUUCUGCAUUUAUUUGUUUGCUCACUUGGGACAGCCAGUUCUUCCCUUGUAAUAUUUGAAAAAUUAAAGCCUGAAAAUUUCAUAUGUACAUCGCCCUUGGUGUUUGGAACAAUGGGGCUAAUCAUUUAUUAUCGAUGAAAACCUAACUGGAUUUCACCUAUUAUGGCAAUCAGGGAGAAAACUUUUUAACAAUUAGGUCAGAGGAGAAGGCUUGAAACACAUGUAAUUGAAAUGC
rnacentral:misc_RNA from 1 species